rnacentral:rRNA from 1 species
UACGAAGGGGGCUAGCGUUGCUCGGAAUGACUGGGCGUAAAGGGCGCGUAGGCGGCAAUUCAAGUCAGUUGUGAAAUCUCCGAGCUUAACUCGGAACGGUCAACUGAUACUGUUUUGCUAGAGUACAGAAGGGGCAAUCGGAAUUCUUGGUGUAGCGGUGAGAUGCGUAGAUAUCAAGAGGAACACCUGAGGUGAAGACGGGUUGCUGGGCUGAUACUGACGCUGAGGCGCGAAAGCUAGGGUAGCAAACGGG